ACUGAUGAUGCAGCCUCCUCCUACCCUUGACAGUGUCUACAAUAUGGUCCUCAAUUAUGAGAAACAGAGACAAGUCCAGUCCCUUUCUCAGUUUAAUCCAGACUCUAUGUCUUUUAAUGUCCACACAAAUAGACAUUCAAUUGGAUUCAAUAAGGUCACAGUGCCUAAUCCUUCUCCUUUCAGACAAAGAGUUAAUUUUGACC
rnacentral:lncRNA from 1 species